rnacentral:rRNA from 1 species
AUGCAUGGUGAAACCCCAACAGCCAGCCUCUCUUCCCCUUUCUGCAUGCAAAAAGAAUCUGGCUCCUCUCUCUCUCCGCAAGCAGAGCUCCGCUCCAGCACGCCACCGAGCUCGCCGCCUGUCCGCCCCCCUCCCCGCCAGCCUCCACCGCGCCACAGACCUCGCUGCGUCCCCGGCCGGAUCCCGCAGGCACUCCCCCUGCUGGUCGCAGCCACCUCCUCGCCGCGCGCCGGCCGGCCUCUGCAUCCUCACCGCGGGCACAUUAGUGUACCAGUACAGGGGCACGGCGGUGCAGCGUGGGGCGUCGUCGCGGUGGCGGGGCGAGGAGUCGACCGAGUAGCCGCCGCUGCAGACCUCGACCUCCUUGGCGUCGGAGGACUCGUCCAUGUCGAAAGCCUCGUCCAUGUCGGAGGCCAUGGAGGUGCUCCCGUCAGUGGUGGGGCGCAACGGCACGGACGCGCGCGGCAGGUGCCGAGGCCGAGGCCGACGCCGCCCGCGCGUGGCCGGGCGGAGGAGGAGCGCGCGUGGCCGGGGCGGAGGAGGUGGCGCGCGUGGCGAGCUCCGCCGCGGGGUCCGCCGGCAGGUGCAGGAUGCGCGCCGUCGUCGAGUCCCUGGAUAGGCCGGGCUUGGCCGGGUGCGGCACACCGGCGCGCAUCCGCGGCCGUGCGCGCGCUCCAGGACAUGCUCCAAGGUGCAGACGAGCCUGUGCGCGCGCUCCAGGACGUGCUCCAGGGAGACCGCGUGGGUGGGCGGGCGCGGUGCAGACGCGACCGUGGCAAGGUAGCGGACGGGACGACCUCCUGGAGCGCGCGGCGGCCGGGCGGAGCGCGCGACGGCCGGGACGACGACGUCCGCGACCGCUGCGCCCGGCGCGCCUGCGAGACUUGCGGCACCCCGCGGCCGCCCGCACUGCUGCCGCUGCUCAUCCCCAGCCGGCGCUUCGGACGCCAUGGCCGGAGCUCCGCUCCUGCGCGCGGUCGCGCGCCCCUGGCCGUGUCCCCGCGAGCACUUGCGAGCUGCUGCUGCCUCCUACGCGCCCCGCCUCGCCUCUGGCCGCGGCCCUGCCUACUGCUUGCGCCGCCGCUGCUGCUGCCUCUUCCUGCGCGCCCCGCCUCGCCUCUGGCCGCGCCCCCUGUCCACUUGGCCGCCUUGGCGCCGUCGGCGACCUCCUUGGCGACGCUCGCGCUCCUCCGCUGGCUGGAGGUCGUCGACGCCGCCACGGUCAAGGUGCUCGAUGAAAUGCCGCUCCGUUUGUGGGAGUCCAACACUGCUCAUAGCGAGGCAACAAGUGGAAAAUUUUGGCCCCCCAAGCCAAAGUUCUCGCCCGCAGCCUCCCAGGAGGCGAAAAAAAUGCCUCCUGGGAAAGCAAACGGCUGA